AAACGGGCUGGUGAGCACGGCGUCAAGCAUGCCGGUCCUGGUGCGGGCCGGAUACUCCUUGAAGCUCAGCAUGCCGGCAUAACGGCUGU
rnacentral:sRNA from 1 species